UUAUUUUAUUUAAUAUAAUAAUUGUCUUAGAUCUACUAUUCAUCGUGUUUUAUUCGUCAGUGUACUAAUGUUUGUUUACUCGAUUUUAAUCGUCGUGCUAUUAACUGUGUUUUAUGUAUAAUCGGUGCGUUGAAUUUUAACAAAAUGAGCAAACGAAAGCAAUUCACGAUUGAAGAAAAAACAAAUAUUAUUUUACGUUUAAAAAAAGGUGAAAAAAAUGGUGACAUAGCUAAUGAAUUAGGCGUUGGUCAUUCUACAAUUUCUAACAUAUGGAAAGCUCGAGAAAAAAUUGAACAGGAGUUUCAAAACGAAAAAUUAUCAGUUAAAAAACUUCGAAGUUGUACGCACACAGAUUUAGACAGCGUUUUACUACGGUGGUUUAAAGAUCAAAGAAAUUUAUGCAUUCCAAUUAAUGGACCGAUUCUUCAACAGAAAGCCAAUGAAUUAGCUGAAGGUCUUGGUAAGCAGAAUUUUAAUUGUUCAACUGGUUGGAUUCAAAGAUUUAGAUCAAGACAUAAUAGUGUUAUGUUAUCGAAAAUAAGUAGAAAAUCAAGUUCUGUUAACACUGAAAUAACACAAGAUUGGUUUGAAAAAGUAUGGCCAAAAUUACGAGAAGGAUACACAGAUGACCAAAUUUAUAAUGCCAAUGAGACUGGGCUUUUUUUCAAAAUGCUUCCUGAUAGAACAUCCAAAUUUAAAGGAGAUAAAUGCUCAGAUGGUAAAAUGUCUGAAGAACGACUUACUAUUUUAGUUUCAGCAAGUAUGACUGGUAAAAAAAUGAAACUAAUUGUAAUUGGAAAAUCCCGUGAACCGCGGUGUUUCAAAAAUAUCAAAAAUAUUGACUGUCUACCGGUAACAUACGAAUCAAAUUCCAAAGCUUGGAUGACUGCAGAAUUGUGGUCUAAAAUUGUAUUAAAUUGGGAUUUAGAAUUGGAAAGAAAAAAAGAAAAUAUCUUACUCUUAGUUGACAACUGCCCGGCGCAUACUAAUGUUGAAUUGCGCAAUAUCAAACUUGUAUUUUUACCCAGUAAUUGUACAUCUGUUCUUCAACCAAUGGAUCAAGGCAUAAUAAAAUGUAUGAAAACUUAUUUUCGAAGAAAUUUAAUGUUAAAAAUGAUCAAUAACAUAGAAAAUAAAAUUGAUACCAAUAUCAGCGUAUUAGAUGGCAUAUUAAUGAUUUUUCAAGCUUGGGAAAAAGUAUCAGAGAUUACAAUUCAAAACUGUUUUCGACACGCUGGUUUCAAAAAUGCUAUUCAACAUCAAGUGGUCCAAGAAGAACAACUAGAAGAAAUAAAUUUUCCAAUGAUUUGCCAAUUUGAUGAUUAUGUUAACUUUGAUAAUGAUGUGUUAAUUUCAGAGCCAUUAAGUGAAGAAAUUAUUUCCUCAAUGAAUAACCAACCCAAAGAACAAGAAGAGAAAGACGACAAUAGUGAAGAAGAUGAUACUCCCAAUGAAGAUUUAUCAAUCAGUUCAGUGUUCAAUGCAGUAAAAAUUGUAUCAAAUUAUAUGGCUCUGAAUAAUGUAAGUUUAAAAACAAAUUUCCAAGAAAUUGAAAAAAAAAUAUUGU
rnacentral:lncRNA from 1 species